UACGUAGGGUGCGAGCGUUAAUCGGAAUUACUGGGCGUAAAGGGUGCGCAGGCGGCGUCGCAAGUCAGGCGUGAAAUCCCCGGGCUCAACCUGGGAAUUGCAUUUGAGACUGCACGGCUAGAGUGUGUCAGAGGGGGGUAGAAUUCCACGUGUAGCAGUGAAAUGCGUAGAGAUGUGGAGGAAUACCGAUGGCGAAGGCAGCCCCCUGGGAUAACACUGACGCUCAUGCACGAAAGCGUGGGGAGCAAACAGG
rnacentral:rRNA from 1 species